AUUGAACGCUGGCGGCAGGCCUAACACAUGCCAGUCGAGCGGAUGAAGGGAGCUUGCUCCUGGAUUCAGCGGCGGACGGGUGAGUAAUGCCUAGGAAUCUGCCUGGUAGUGGGGGAUAACGUCCGGAAACGGGCGCUAAUACCGCAUACGUCCUGAGGGAGAAAGUGGGGGAUCUUCGGACCUCACGCUAUCAGAUGAGCCUAGGUCGGAUUAGCUAGUUGGUGGGGUAAAGGCCUACCAAGGCGACGAUCCGUAACUGGUCUGAGAGGAUGAUCAGUCACACUGGAACUGAGACACGGUCCAGACUCCUACGGGAGGCAGCAGUGGGGAAUAUUGGACAAUGGGCGAAAGCCUGAUCCAGCCAUGCCGCAUGUGUGAAGAAGGUCUUCGGAUUGUAAAGCACUUUAAGUUGGGAGGAAGGGCAGUAAGUUAAUACCUUGCUGUUUUGACGUUACCAACAGAAUAAGCACCGGCUAACUUCGUG
rnacentral:rRNA from 1 species